AUGUUAGCGGCGGACGGGUGAGUAACACGUGGAUAACCUACCUAUAAGACUGGGAUAACUUCGGGAAACCGGAGCUAAUACCGGAUAAUAUUUUGAACCGCAUGGUUCAAAAGUGAAAGACGGUCUUGCUGUCACUUAUAGAUGGAUCCGCGCUGCAUUAGCUAGUUGGUAAGGUAACGGCUUACCAAGGCAACGAUGCAUAGCCGACCUGAGAGGGUGAUCGGCCACACUGGAACUGAGACACGGUCCAGACUCCUACGGGAGGCAGCAGUAGGGAAUCUUCCGCAAUGGGCGAAAGCCUGACGGAGCAACGCCGCGUGAGUGAUGAAGGUCUUCGGAUCGUAAAACUCUGUUAUUAGGGAAGAACAUAUGUGUAAGUAACUGUGCACAUCUUGACGGUACCUAAUCAGAAAGCCACGGCUAACUACGUGCCAGCAGCCGCGGUAAUACGUAGGUGGCAAGCGUUAUCCGGAAUUAUUGGGCGUAAAGCGCGCGUAGGCGGUUUUUUAAGUCUGAUGUGAAAGCCCACGGCUCAACCGUGGAGGGUCAUUGGAAACUGGAAAACUUGAGUGCAGAAGAGGAAAGUGGAAUUCCAUGUGUAGCGGUGAAAUGCGCAGAGAUAUGGAGGAACACCAGUGGCGAAGGCGACUUUCUGGUCUGUAACUGACGCUGAUGUGCGAAAGCGUGGGGAUCAAACAGGAUUAGAUACCCUGGUAGUCCACGCCGUAAACGAUGAGUGCUAAGUGUUAGGGGGUUUCCGCCCCUUAGUGCUGCAGCUAACGCAUUAAGCACUCCGCCUGGGGAGUACGACCGCAAGGUUGAAACUCAAAGGAAUUGACGGGGACCCGCACAAGCGGUGGAGCAUGUGGUUUAAUUCGAAGCAACGCGAAGAACCUUACCAAAUCUUGACAUCCUUUGACAACUCUAGAGAUAGAGCCUUCCCCUUCGGGGGACAAAGUGACAGGUGGUGCAUGGUUGUCGUCAGCUCGUGUCGUGAGAUGUUGGGUUAAGUCCCGCAACGAGCGCAACCCUUAAGCUUAGUUG
rnacentral:rRNA from 1 species